rnacentral:lncRNA from 1 species
CAGGGUUAUUUUUCUAUCCCUCAUUUAAUAUCUUCACUGGUUACCAAACCUUUGACUCCAGUGACAUUCCACUGUGUGGGUUUGGUGACUUUUUGCUGAAGAGCCCUGUGGAUUUUCACAGCACAGAACAUAUGGGCCUGUCUGCUGCCUGUAGCAUUUCUCUCCAAUGAGAGAAAAUUAAACAAUUGCAGGUGGGUUUUGUGCCUGUGUGUAAUAAAUACUAUCAAGAUAUCAAUCACUGGUUAAGGUAACCUUUUGGACUGCACAAAAAGAAUCCCUGUAGUCUCUCAAUGACUAUUUAUCAUUCUUUUUGAGAGUGAUUUUGAUCCAAAUCGAUUCUUUUCUUGUGCUACUCUAUUUUUAUGCCCUAGUCCAUCUUUAAUAUACACCGUGGCACUAUCUCUUCUUGAGCAUGCAAGGACUUUGAUGAAUGCACUCCAGCCACCACAGUUUUUUCAUACCAGGUAUCUAUUGAUUCCCAUAAUAUCAACUUUCACCACUGGCACCACUUGUUAGAAUUCCUCUGCUUGGUUUUAAAAGCCGUCUGUGCUGCUCAGCUCUUUCCCAGCAGCUCUUUUCAGGAUUCUCUGUGGAUUCUUUGAUCAAUCCCACCUGCCCAGCUCAGGAAGGACGUGUCCCAGUUCCUGCAGCUCCCCAGUGAGGUUAUCUGCUGUUUAUUCCUCUGUGAAGCUGGCAGGUCUGAAUAAUCAGCUUUUAAAGAUAAAGUCUGAGCUUCUGUUAUUUUUGCCAAGUUACUUUCCAUAGUGGCAGACUACAGUCCAAGCUUGAGCUGCAGGCCCACUGAAACAGCCCAGGACUCUGCACGUGGAUCUUGUGUGCUGGAACUACACCAUCAUUUUUAAAUUUUUUAUAUGUUUCUUGAGCAAAACCUGUAUUUUCCUCUCAUAUAAAUGGGAUACCACCCAGGCAUUUCCCUGAGCUGUGAAUGCAGCAGACCUUUUCCAGGUUCCUCACUAG